UCCUCGGUGGCUUAGAGGUUAGAGCGCCUGCCUAGUAAGCAGGAGAUCGCGGGUUCGAAUCCCGGUCGGGCAC